GCGAAUGGCUCAUUAAAUCAGCUAUGGUUUACUGGAUCGUACCCGUUAAAUGGAUAACUGUAAUAACUCUAGAGCUAAUACAUGCCACGAAGCCCUGACCCGCGAGGGAAUGGGUGCACUUAUUAGAUCAGAAGCCAACCGGGCAUCAGUCGCAAGGCUGGUGUCUGUUGUCGUUCUGGUGACUCUGGAUAAUUGUUACAGAUCGCAGUCGGCCUUGAGUCGGCGACGGGUCCUUCAAAUGUCUGCCCUAUCAACUUUCGAUGGUAGGUGAUCUGCCUACCAUGGUGAUAACGGGUAACGGGGAAUCAGGGUUCGAUUCCGGAGAGGGAGCCUGAGAAACGGCUACCACUUCCAAGGGAGGCAGCAGGCGCGCAAAUUACCCACUCCCAGUACGGGGAGGUGGUGACGAAAAAUACCGAUGCGGGACUCCCAAACGAGGCUCCGUAAUCGGAAUGAGUGAACUAUAAAUCCUUUCGCGAGGAUCAAUUGGAGGGCAAGUCUGGUGCCAGCAGCCGCGGUAACUCCAGCUCCAAUAGCGUAUAUUAAAGUUGCUGCAGUUAAAAAGCUCGUAGUUGGAUCUCGGUAUCAUUGUUGCCUGCCAGUCCUUGAGGCGCUGGCCUAUCGGUGCAUGGGUGCGCCUAUGUGCCAUGGUGUUGGCUGCUUUGAGUUGGUGUGGUGGCGGUGUCACCUUUCAGCCAUGUCUGUGGUGAAAUACCCACAGGUGUAGGCGGGUGUCAGGCGGUGCCUUGCAAAUGUAGGGUUCGUCGGCUCGUCUGCAUGCCUUUGGAUGCCCUUUAAAAGGUGUCUGUGGGCAGAUGGCACGUUUACUUUGAACAAAUUUGAGUGCUCAAACCAGGCCGAUGUUGCCUGAAAAGUUUUGCAUGGAAUAAUGGAAUAGGACUUCGGUUCUAUUUCGUUGGUUUUCGGAUCCGAAGUAAUGAUCAAUAGAGACAGGCGGGGACGUUUGUAUGGUUGCGCUAGAGGUGAAAUUCUUGGACCGUAGCCAGACAAACUAAAGCGAAAGCAUUCGUCAAGCAUGUUUUCAUUGGCCAUGAGCGAAAGUCAGAGGCUCGAAGACGAUCAGAUACCGUCCUAGUUCUGACCAUAAACGAUGCCAACUGACGAUCCGUGGUGGUAGUCUUUAAACCUUCCUCACGGGCAGUCCCCGGGAAACCAUUAAGUCUAUGGGUUCCGGGGGAAGUAUGGUGCAAAGCUGAAACUUAAAGGAAUUGACGGAAGGGCACCACCAGGAGUGGAGCCUGCGGCUUAAUUUGACUCAACACGGGAAAACUCACCCGGCCCGGACACUAUGAGGAUUGACAGAUUGAAAGCUCUUUCUUGAUUUGGUGGUUGGUGGUGCAUGGCCGUUCUUAGUUGGUGGAGCGAUUUGUCUGGUUAAUUCCGAUAACGAACGAGACUCCAGCCUGCUAAUUAGUGCAUCUGUCCACUGUUCCUGUGCAGGUAUGCGUUUUAGGAUUCUGCCCGUAUUGGCUGCCCGUAUUGGUUGGUAUCGGUUGGAUGGUGUGACGAGUGCUGGUCUCUAGAUCGGCGUUUGUUGUGCCGCCUCCUGGAAUAUUGUCCAUGGUAGCUUGGGUGGAUGACUUGGCGUUUGCUUCCGGGUACGGCGCGGGUGUCUACUUCUUAGAGGGACAAGCGGGAGAAGCCGCACGAAAUUGAGCAAUAACAGGUCUGUGAUGCCCUUAGAUGUCCGGGGCCGCACGCGCGCUACAAUGACGGUGGCAACGAGUCUGACCUUCUGACCCGAAAGGGUUGGGCAAACUGGUCAAUCACCGUCAUGACAGGGAUCGGGGCUUGGAAUUGUUCCCCGUGAACGAGGAAUUCCUAGUAAGUGCAAGUCAUAAGCUUGCGCUGAUUACGUCCCUGCCCUUUGUACACACCGCCCGUCGCUACUACCGAUUGAAUGGUUUAGUAAGGUCCUUGGAUUGGCGCCAUUGCAGCCGAAAGGCUCAGGCGGUGCUGAGAAGACGACCAAACUUGAUCAUUUAGAGGAAGUAAAAGUCGUAACAAG
rnacentral:rRNA from 1 species